rnacentral:tmRNA from 1 species
GGGGCUGAUUCUGGAUUCGACGGGAUUUGCGAAACCCAAGGUGCAUGCCGAGGGGCGGUUGGCCUCGUAAAAAGCCGCAAAAAAUAGUCGCAAACGACGAAAACUACGCUUUAGCAGCUUAAUAACCUGCUUAGAGCCCUCUCUCCCUAGCCUCCGCUCUUAGGACGGGGAUCAAGAGAGGUCAAACCCAAAAGAGAUCGCGUGGAAGCCCUGCCUGGGGUUGAAGCGUUAAAACUUAAUCAGGCUAGUUUGUUAGUGGCGUGUCCGUCCGCAGCUGGCAAGCGAAUGUAAAGACUGACUAAGCAUGUAGUACCGAGGAUGUAGGAAUUUCGGACGCGGGUUCA